AUUGUACUCCCUCCGUCCGAAAAUACUUGUCGGAGAAAUGGAUGAAUCUAGAUGUAUUUUAGUUAUACAUACAUCCAGUUUUAUCCAUUUCUUCGACAAGUAUUUUGGGAAGGAGGGAGUAUUUG
rfam:Triticum aestivum genome assembly, contig: Triticum_aestivum_CS42_TGACv1_scaffold_223670_3B